GUACCUACGGGCGGCUGCAGUGGGGAAUCUUGCACAAUGGGGGAAACCCUGAUGCAGCGACGCCGCGUGAGCGAUGAAGCCCUUCGGGGUGUAAAGCUCUUUCGACGGGAACGAUGAUGACGGUACCCGGAGAAGAAGCUGCGGCUAACUACGUGCCAGCAGCCGCGGUAAUACGUAGGCAGCAAGCGUUGUUCGGAGUUACUGGGCGUAAAGAGUGCGUAGGCGGUUUCGCAAGUUUGUUGUGAAAUCUCCCGGCUUAACUGGGAGGGUGCGGCGAAAACUGCGGGGCUGGAGUGUGGGAGAGGUAAGCGGAAUUCCUGGUGUAGCGGUGAAAUGCGUAGAUAUCAGGAGGAACACCGGCGGUGUAGACGGCUUACUGGACCAUGACUGACGCUGAGGCACGAAAGCGUGGGGAGCAAACAGGAUUAGAUACCCUGGUAGUCAUC
rnacentral:rRNA from 1 species